rnacentral:rRNA from 1 species
UACGGAGGAUCCGAGCGUUAUCCGGAUUUAUUGGGUUUAAAGGGUGCGUAGGCGGCCUUUUAAGUCAGCGGUGAAAGUCUGUGGCUCAACCAUAGAAUUGCCGUUGAAACUGGGAGGCUUGAGUAUGUUUGAGGCAGGCGGAAUGCGUGGUGUAGCGGUGAAAUGCUUAGAUAUCACGCAGAACCCCGAUUGCGAAGGCAGCCUGCCAAGCCAUGACUGACGCUGAUGCACGAAAGCGUGGGGAUCAAACAGGAUUAGAUACCCUGGUAGUCCACGCAGUAAACGAUGAUCACUAGCUGUUUGCGAUACACUGUAAGCGGCACAGCGAAAGCGUUAAGUGAUCCACCUGGGGAGUACGCCGGCAACGGUGAAACUCAAAGGAAUUGACGGGGGCCCGCACAAGCGGAGGAACAUGUGGUUUAAUUCGAUGAUACGCGAGGAACCUUACCCGGGCUUAAAUUGCAACUGAAUGAUGUGGAGACAUGUCAGCCGCAAGGCAGUUGUGAAGGUGCUGCAUGGUUGUCGUCAGCUCGUGCCGUGAGGUGUCGGCUUAAGUGCCAUAACGAGCGCAACCCUUGCCACUAGUUACUAACAGGUAAAGCUGAGGACUCUGGUGGGACUGCCAGCGUAAGCUGCGAGGAAGGCGGGGAUGACGUCAAAUCAGCACGGCCCUUACAUCCGGGGCGACACACGUGUUACAAUGGCGUGGACAAAGGGAAGCCACCUGGCGACAGGGAGCGAAUCCCCAAACCACGUCUCAGUUCGGAUCGGAGUCUGCAACCCGACUCCGUGAAGCUGGAUUCGCUAGUAAUCGCGCAUCAGCCAUGGCGCGGUGAAUACGUU